UACGGGGGGGGCAAGCGUUGUUCGGAAUUACUGGGCGUAAAGGGUCUGUAGGUGGCUUGCUAAGUCAGACGUGAAAUCCCUCAGCUUAACUGGGGAACUGCGUCUGAGACUGGCGAGCUUGAGGGCAGGAGAGGAACGCGGAAUUCCAGGUGUAGCGGUGAAAUGCGUAGAUAUCUGGAGGAAUACCGGUGGCGAAGGCGGCAUCCUGGACCGGCAUUGACGCUGAACAGCGAAAGCUAGGGGAGCAAACGGG
rnacentral:rRNA from 1 species